rnacentral:rRNA from 1 species
GAGUUUGAUUCUGGCUCAGGACGAACGCUGGCGGCGUGCCUAACACAUGCAAGUCGAACGGACUCAGCCAUAUAGCAAUAUUUGGCGAAGGUUAGUGGCGAACGGGUGAGUAAUGCGUGAGCAACCUGCCUUUCAGAGGGGGAUAACAGCUGGAAACAGUUGCUAAUACCGCAUAACAUAUUACAGCGGCAUCGCAGUAAUAUCAAAGGAGCAAUCCGCUGAGAGAUGGGCUCACGUCUGAUUAGCUGGAUGGUGGGGUAAGGGCCUACCAUGGCUGCGAUCAGUAGCCGGUCUGAGAGGAUGAACGGCCACAUUGGGACUGAGAUACGGCCCAGACUCCUACGGGAGGCAGCAGUGGGGAAUAUUGGGCAGUGGGCGAAAGCCUGACCCAGCAACGCCGCGUGAAGGAAGAAGGCCCUCGGGUUGUAAACUUCUUUUAUCGGGGACGAAGUAAGUGACGUACCCGAUGAAUAAGCCAC